rnacentral:rRNA from 1 species
GACGAACGCUGGCGGCGUGCUUAACACAUGCAAGUCGAACGAAGUGGCGAACGGGUGAGUAACGCGUAAUCAACCUGCCCUUCAGAGGGGGACAACAGUUGGAAACGACUGCUAAUACCGCAUACUGAAGGACGGGUUUGCGACUGAUUAGAGAGUAGGAGGGGUAAUGGCCCACCAAGGCGAUGAGCAGUAGCCGGGCUUGGAGGAUGAACGGCCACAUUGGGACUGAGACACGGCCCAGACUCCUACGGGAGGAAGCAGUGGGGAAUCGUCCGCAAUGGACGAAAGUCUGACGAAGCAACGCCGCGUGAGUGAUGACGGCCUUCGGGUUGGAAAGCUCUGUUAAUCGGGACGCGGUACCGGAAUAGAAAGCCACGGCUAACUACGUGCCAGCCGCCGCGGUAAUAC